AGUCGAGGGGCAGCGGGGUAGUGCUUGCACUACUGCCUGCGACCGGCGCACGGGUGAGUAACACGUAUGGAACCUGCCCGCAGCAGGGGGAUAAGCGGAAGAAAUUCCGUCUAAUACCGCGUAACAACGUUGGGAGGCAUCUCCCGAUGUUUAAAGAUUUAUCGGCUGCGGAUGGCCAUGCGGCGCAUUAGCUAGUCGGCGGGGUAACGGCCCACCGAGGCGACGAUGCGUAGGGGUUCUGAGAGGAAGGUCCCCCACACUGGUACUGAGACACGGACCAGACUCCUACGGGAGGCAGCAGUGAGGAAUAUUGGUCAAUGGCCGAGAGGCUGAACCAGCCAAGUCGCGUGAGGGAAGACGGCCCUACGGGUUGUAAACCUCUUUUGUCGGGGAGCAAAGAGAGCCACGUGUGGCUCAUUGAGAGUACCCGAAGAAAAAGCAUCGGCUAACUCCGUGCCAGCAGCCGCGGUAAUACGGAGGAUGCGAGCGUUAUCCGGAUUUAUUGGGUUUAAAGGGUGCGCAGGCGGAGGUGCAAGUCAGCGGUCAAAUUGCGGGGCUCAACCCCGUACUGCCGUUGAAACUGCAUCCCUUGAGUGCGCGAGAAGUAUGCGGAAUGCGUGGUGUAGCGGUGAAAUGCAUAGAUAUCACGCAGAACUCCGAUUGCGAAGGCAGCAUACCGGCGCGCAACUGACGCUCAUGCACGAAAGCGUGGGUAUCGAACAAGAUUAGAUACCCUGGUAGUCCACGCAGUAAACG
rnacentral:rRNA from 1 species